rnacentral:tRNA from 1 species
GAGUCCGGUAGCGCAGUGGUUGUCGCGCUCCACAGCACGUGGGGAGGACGUCGGUUCGAAUCCGGCCCGGCUCA